GAUGAACGCUGGCGGCGUGCCUAAUACAUGCAAGUCGAGCGAACAGACGAGGAGCUUGCUCCUCUGACGUUAGCGGCGGACGGGUGAGUAACACGUGGAUAACCUACCUAUAAGACUGGGAUAACUUCGGGAAACCGGAGCUAAUACCGGAUAAUAUAUUUAACCGCAUGGUUCAAUAGUGAAAGGCGGUUUUGCUGUCACUUAUAGAUGGAUCCGCGCCGCAUUAGCUAGUUGGUAAGGUAACGGCUUACCAAGGCGACGAUGCGUAGCCGACCUGAGAGGGUGAUCGGCCACACUGGAACUGAGACACGGUCCAGACUCCUACGGGAGGCAGCAGUAGGGAAUCUUCCGCAAUGGGCGAAAGCCUGACGGAGCAACGCCGCGUGAGUGAUGAAGGUCUUCGGAUCGUAAAACUCUGUUAUUAGGGAAGAACAAAUGUGUAAGUAACUAUGCACGUCUUGACGGUACCUAAUCAGAAAGCCACGGCUAACUACGUG
rnacentral:rRNA from 1 species